GAAUACAUUGCUUAUUAGAUGACCUUUUCUUUAGAUCCUUAUCUUAAUCCGACUAAUCAUGGCCAGGUGUAAUUUUUCUUUUCUUUCUUAAUUUUAGGCCUGUUGAUCCGGAGAUUUUGCUCGAGAGAGAAAGGGCCUUCUGGAGAGUUGCCAUGGAGUAUCGGAGAGCUCAAAACAUGGUGAUGAAUUGUUUCCAUCAUUGACAUUCUUUCAUUUUACCACGAAAUUAAAUGAGCAUUGCCUAUCAACUAAAAUGGGCCUUGCCUGCCUAUCAAUGAGAAUUUAUAGCUGAAAUAAAUUGGGAUCAGGUUCCAUGUUUAACUUCCUACUCUAUCUUGUAGAUUCUUAUUACUAAUCAAUAAUUUCAUUUUACCAGGAUGCCGAGUAUGACUUGAUUCCUAGCAAUAUGACCUUAUCUCCUAUAAUGUCGGAGAGUGGCUUCUGGUACCAUGGAAAUUUUGUGGGCUCUAAGAGAGAAUUUCCUUCGAAAGGGGUGCAACAAUGUUUUUUCCUUGAGCUCAACCGUACUCGACAAAAGACUUACGAUGUGACAGCCUGUAUCACACUUGGUAUGCACUUCUCGUUUGUAUGCCAUCAAGAAAAAGUUAUUCACUAGUCUUCAGUAACUAUAUAUGAAUGAAUCUGAUAUGUCUUCGAUCUGUCUUCAGAUGAUUAUGAUGUUGACACUACAUGUAAGAGGUGCUCUUCUCAUACGGGCGUCUUGCAUCCACGCAGAGGCGGAUUUACUUUUGGGAGCAAAGAAGGUCCAAGCAAGGAGAAUCUGGGAGCCACACCAGCAAGUAUAUCGGAUAGAGUUGUGCAUUCACCUGCUCCCUUGCCUACCCUAGGGAAUGAAACCCUAGAGCCUAUUAUCAGAAGACUAUCAACUAUGGUUGGAGGUGGAGCAUCCAAACCCGUAGCUGCAUCUGCAACUGCAAUAGGAACCCAUCCCAAGUCCAAAUCCUUGACAACAACGCCGAGUGGAAGCUCAAGGCUCAUCACGAAGAGGCAACUGGAAGUGGCAUUGGCAUCGGCAUUGGCUGGAGGUGGAACCUGCUCAUCUGAAGACAACAACCAAUGAAAUUAGCAGGAAUAAGUUAACGACUAAUUUUGGAGUUUGUUUACAACAGUAUAGGCCGGUCCAUGUUAGUUCACAACUAGUCCAACCAUGUUUCUCCAACUGUUUGGAGCUGGAACCAGGGAAAUAUAAGCGAUGUUGCAGUUGCAGAUCAUUUGUGCCAGUUGGGGUAGUGGCGGUUCCAGGAUCAGAAGGUUGUGAUGUCAUUUCAAAUCUGUGAUGCCAAAUACAUGUGUUCUCACCAAUUUUAUAUAGAAAAUUACAUGAUUUCUACUUGUGUACAAAGGAUUUGCCAAAAACCUGUGUAGUCAAUUGAC